AGACUAUGAAGACUAUAGUCAUGAUUACGAAGACUAUAGUAAAGACUAUGAAGACUAUAGUCUUUAGUAUAGUCUUUGCAGUCAUGACUAUAGUCUUCA